rnacentral:rRNA from 1 species
UAGUAACUGCGAGUGAAGCGGGAAAAGCUCAAAUUUAAAAUCUGGCGGUCUUUGGCCGUCCGAGUUGUAGUCUGGAGAAGUGCUUUCCGCGCUGGACCGUGUAUAAGUCUCUUGGAACAGAGCGUCAUAGAGGGUGAGAAUCCCGUCUUUGACACGGACUACCAGUGCUUUGUGAUGCGCUCUCAAAGAGUCGAGUUGUUUGGGAAUGCAGCUCAAAAUGGGUGGUGAAUUCCAUCUAAAGCUAAAUAUUGGCGAGAGACCGAUAGCGAACAAGUACCGUGAGGGAAAGAUGAAAAGCACUUUGGAAAGAGAGUUAAACAGUACGUGAAAUUGCUGAAAGGGAAACGCUUGAAGUCAGUCGCGUCGUCCGGAACUCAGCCUUGCUUUCGCUUGGUGCACUUUCCGGAUGACGGGUCAGCAUCGAUUUUGACCGUCGGAAAAGGGCUGGAGUAAUGUGGCACCUCCGGGUGUGUUAUAGACUCUGGUCGCAUACGGCGGUUGGGAUCGAGGAACGCAGCGCGCCGUAAGGCAGGGGAUUCUCCCACUUUCGCGCUUAGGAUGCUGGCAUAAUGGCUUUAAACGACCCGUCUUGAAACACGGACCAAGGAGUCUAACAUACCUGCGAGUGUUUGGGUGGAAAACCCGAGCGCGCAAUGAAAGUGAAAGUUGAGACCUCUGUCGUGGAGGGCAUCGACGCCCGGACCUGACGUUCUCUGACGGAUCCGCGGUAGAGCAUGUAUGUUGGGACCCGAAAGAUGGUGAACUAUGCCUGAAUAGGGUGAAGCCAGAGGAAACUCUGGUGGAGGCUCGUAGCGAUUCUGACGUGCAAAUCGAUCGUCAAAUUUGGGUAUAGGGGGCGA